GUUUAAAGACGUACCAGCCCUCCUCCGCGCCGCCCCGCCGCCGCCACCCGGUUCUCGCCGGAGACGGGAGAGUGUUUGGGGCUGAAAAAUAUCUAGACCUACUCUCCAACCAUUCAUCGGCUGGUGUUCCAUGACUCAAAGGGUGGCCCAUCUGAAACAAAGACAGUGCCCCUGAGCCCCACCUGAAGAGAAGGCUCUUUGAAAAGUGCUGCCACUAGUAGCAGAGUUGGCCCUGCUGCUGUCUGUGACCAAGAGGACACUUUCCUCGAACAACUGGGGGCACACUGGCUCCAGGCAGAUCUUCAGGCUAUAACUCCUGAGAAACCCGCGUGGCACUGCUGCCCACACCACUCGUCUCGAAAAGACUUUCCCAUGCUCUUCUUCAUGCCUCUGUGAAAAUUAAAUCCUGAGCGAGUUACUCAUUUUAGACAUUCACUAUCUGUUGCGUCUUUUUUUUAUUUAUUUACUUAUUUAUUUAUUUUUGUGAGGAAGACCAGCCCUGUGCUAACAUCUGCCAAUCCUCCUCUUUUUUGCUGAGGAAGACUGCCCCUGGGCUAACAUCCGCGCCCAUCUUCCUCUACUUUAUGUGGGACGCUGCCACAGCGUGGCUUGACAAGCGGUGCGUCAGUGCGCGCCCAGAAUCCGAACCGAACCAGCGAACCCCAGGCCGCCGAAGCGGAGCGCGCGCACUUAACCGCUUCCGCCACCGGGCCGGCCCCCAGAUACCUUUCUAAGCCAAACCUUGGGAUGUGGGAAACUGAAAAACAGAGCUUGAAUGGAUCUGGGUUGACAUGAAACCACACUAUUUGGAAAGAUUCCACGGCGCAAACAGCAGCCUUGGACUAAGAGAGCCGGAGUCUGAGCACCAGCUCACUUCCUUAUCAGCCGGGUGACUCUACUCAGGUCUCUUAAGCUCUGGGAGUUUUGGUUAUCCUGUUACAAAAUGAGGUUAGUAAGACCGUUCUUGCAGUUUGU